GUGCCAGCAGCCGCGGUAAUACGUAGGGUGCGAGCGUUGUCCGGAAUUACUGGGCGUAAAGGGCUCGUAGGUGGUUUGUCGCGUCGUCUGUGAAAUUCCGGGGCUUAACUCCGGGCGUGCAGGCGAUACGGGCAUAACUUGAGUACUGUAGGGGUAACUGGAAUUCCUGGUGUAGCGGUGAAAUGCGCAGAUAUCAGGAGGAACACCGAUGGCGAAGGCAGGUUACUGGGCAGUUACUGACGCUGAGGAGCGAAAGCAUGGGUAGCGAACAGGAUUAGAUACCCUGGUAGUCCAUGCCGUAAACGGUGGGCGCUAGGUGUGAGGGUCUUUUCACGACUUUCGUGCCGUAGCUAACGCAUUAAGCGCCCCGCCUGGGGAGUACGGCCGCAAGGCUAAAACUCAAAGGAAUUGACGGGGGCCCGCACAAGCGGCGGAGCAUGUGGAUUAAUUCGAUGCAACGCGAAGAACCUUACCUGGGCUUGACAUACACCGGAUUGGGCUAGAGAUAGUCUUUCCCUUUGUGGCUGGUGUACAGGUGGUGCAUGGUUGUCGUCAGCUCGUGUCGUGAGAUGUUGGGUUAAGUCCCGCAACGAGCGCAACCCUUGUCUUAUGUUGCCAGCAUUUGGUUGGGGACUCAUGAGAGACUGCCGGGGUCAACUCGGAGGAAGGUGGGGAUGACGUCAAAUCAUCAUGCCCCUUAUGUCCAGGGCUUCACACAUGCUACAAUGGUCGGUACAACGCGCAGCGACACUGUGAGGUGGAGCGAAUCGCUGAAAGCCGGCCUUAGUUCGGAUUGGGGUCUGCAACUCGACCCCAUGAAGUCGGAGUCGCUAGUAAUCGCAGAUCAGCAAUGCUGCGGUGAAUACGUUCCCGGGCCUUGUACACACCGCCCGUCACGUCAUGAAAGUUGGUAACACCCGAAGCCGGUGGCCCAAACUUGUUAGGGAGCCGUCGAAGGUGGGAUCGGCGAUUGGGACGAAGUCGUAACAAGGUA
rnacentral:rRNA from 1 species